GAGCGGGGAAGUAGCUUGCUACUUAACUUAGCGGCGGACGGGUGAGUAAUACUUAGGAAUCUGCCUAUUAGUGGGGGACAACAUUUCGUAAGGAAUGCUAAUACCGCAUACGUCCUACGGGAGAAAGCAGGGGAUCACUUGUGACCUUGCGCUAAUAGAUGAGCCUAAGUCGGAUUAGCUAGUUGGUGGGGUAAAGGCCUACCAAGGCGACGAUCUGUAGCGGGUCUGAGAGGAUGAUCCGCCACACUGGGACUGAGACACGGCCCAGACUCCUACGGGAGGCAGCAGUGGGGAAUAUUGGACAAUGGGGGGAACCCUGAUCCAGCCAUGCCGCGUGUGUGAAGAAGGCCUUUUGGUUGUAAAGCACUUUAAGCGAGGAGGAGGCUACUCUAGUUAAUACCUAGAGAUAGUGGACGUUACUCGCAGAAUAAGCACCGGCUAACUCUGUGCCAGCAGCCGCGGUAAUACAGAGGGUGCGAGCGUUAAUCGGAUUUACUGGGCGUAAAGCGUGCGUAGGUGGCCAAUUAAGUCAAAUGUGAAAUCCCCGAGCUUAACUUGGGAAUUGCAUUCGAUACUGGUUGGCUAGAGUAUGGGAGAGGAUGGUAGAAUUCCAGGUGUAGCGGUGAAAUGCGUAGAGAUCUGGAGGAAUACCGAUGGCGAAGGCAGCCAUCUGGCCUAAUACUGACACUGAGGUACGAAAGCGUGGGGAGCAAACAGGAUUAGA
rnacentral:rRNA from 1 species